CAACGACAACUAAGAAGCUGCUGGCACCAAGAUAGAUGCUCAUCAAAGUACACGCCAAGAUUCUUCACAACCCUACUGUAUGGUAUUUUUACUCCGUCAAUAGACACCGAUGGUAAAGUAC